CGGCAACUAGUUUCGAAUGAGCAAGUGAGUAUCAGGAAGGAAGGGGGGGCCCAGUGUGCCAUAGCUGCAAACAGUAGCGUCCUCGGUAGUGGAGUUCUUAUGAGUGUUGAUUGUCUGGGUUGCCCUAAGGGACCCUGGAGACAGCC
rnacentral:snoRNA from 1 species